rnacentral:misc_RNA from 1 species
CCUGCUUUAUACGAUCUUGCUGGUGGCGGUCGCAGCGUCGCCCUGGCCGCUGGGCUAUUUCAGCGCGAUUUACGGUGUGACGUCGCUGGUGCUCGGCGCGGGCAUGCUCUGGUAUGCCGUGAGCGUGUACCGUCAUCGCACCGGCAGCGCAGGGCUGCGCGCCACGCGUGGACUGUUCAAGUUCUCGAUCCUGUAUCUCUUCGGAUUGUUCGCCGUGUUGCUGGCCG